GCGCCAGUAGCUCAGAUGGAUAGAGCGGCAGCCUUCUAAGCUGUUGGUCGGGGGUUCGAAUCCCUCCUGGCGCG
rfam:Gemmatimonas aurantiaca T-27 DNA, complete genome.